rnacentral:misc_RNA from 1 species
GGACGUAACCGUGUCUACCCCUAACCAAUCCGCUAUCGAAACGUGUCCGGGACUUUCCAUUUUUGUUCCCUCCGUUUCGCUCUUCACUCAAGCUCCUCAUUUCCUCCCUGAACCGCACACCACCGGGCACCGGCGAGGAAGGACGUGAAACGGAGCAUGAGGUGAAUGAUUUGUUGUUCUAUUGUCUUUCUUAAAUCGUCUGCUGUCUCGUUUCCGGACUGGAUCGGCUUGUCGCUGAGUUGAUUGCUUGUAGCAAAGAAGAAGCAACACUGGCUGUGAUGAGAGGAAGCCUCUUGGUUAACCGUCGCGGGAUGCAGAGAUUUCGGCAACUCGCGAUCACUGCCGCUGGAUCGAUUAAGAUUAAGCUCUUACUCUGCUGUUGCAUAGCUUUUACGCUGCUCGCGCUCGCUGGACGCGCAUCGGAUUUCAUGAGAUGGACCAAACACGUUGUUUGUGCUGAUCAGCUCUCUGUUCCUGGGAAAGGUUAUGCUGUGUUAAUUAACACAUGGAAGAGAUAUGAUCUUUUGAAGCAGUCAAUUUCCCACUAUUCAUCUUGUGCUGGGCUUGAUUCUAUACAUAUAGUGUGGAGUGAGCCCAAUCCUCCAUCAGAAUCUCUUGUUAGUUAUCUAAAUCACGUUCUACAAUCAAAAUCUAAAGGUGCUAGGCAGGCAGAAUUGAAAUUUGAUAUCAACAAGGAAGACAGUUUGAAUAAUAGAUUCAAAGAAAUUAAGGAUUUGAAGACUGAUGCUGUUUUCUCAAUUGAUGAUGAUGUUAUAUUUCCUUGCUCUUCAGUGGAAUUUGCUUUCAACGUUUGGCAGAGUGCCCCAGAUACAAUGGUGGGCUUUGUGGCCCGUGCCCAUUGGGUUGAUCGAUUGGAAGGUAAAAAAGAUUAUUACAUAUAUGGUGGAUGGUGGUCUGUUUGGUGGACUGGUACAUAUAGCAUGGUACUCUCUAAGGCAGCCUUUUUUCACAAAAAGUAUCUCAGCUUAUAUACAAAUGAGAUGCCAGCAUCAAUCAGAGAAUACAUAACCAAGAAUAGGAAUUGUGAAGAUAUUGCAAUGUCCUUUCUCAUUGCAAAUUCAACUGGAGCUCCACCUAUUUGGGUGAAAGGUAGAUGAUUUAUCUGAUAUAAGUCAAAAGUUGUUAAUGGUUUAUUCACUCAGUUCAUUUUUCUUAUAUUCUUAAUGACUUUUUAUUUAAUAAUUUUAACCUUAGUAGGGUCAUUUCUUAUGCAAAGCUCCUAUCAAAUAAGUAAACUGAGUGUAAAGAAGGUGGAAAUUAUAUAGCUAAUGUAUGAUAAAAUCUAUGCACUGAAAGUGCCAAAAAAAUGUCACAACUACUGGUUGUGUUCUUAGUUCAUUCAUGUGUCAUCUUGCCUUCUCUAAUGGUCAACUUGAUGCAAUUAGCUCUUCCUCCUCGUCCUUAUAGCACCUUGAAAUAUAAUAAGUUUGUGUCGUUUUGAUGCAAUUGAUAUUUUCUUCCUUUUCCUUGUAGCUUAGCUAUUUCACAUCUCUCUUACAUGGGACAGAUUAUUUAUUCAUUUGUUUAUUUAUAUAGGAAAAGCAAAUCUUUAAAUUGAGGUAAUAAGAGCGAGGUCUUAUGAGAUAGAGAAAGGGUGAAUAAGGAAAAGAGAAUGAAUGUUAGGCAAUGAUCACAAUCCCUUUGUUAUAGGAAUGAAACCUGAGAACUUAUAUCAUGAGGUGGAUAAAUGGAGCCUAUCCCUUGAUUUGCAAACAUUUGGUGACAAUUUGUGAUUUAUUGGUGCAAAGACCCUAUUAUGUUGACCUAUUUUGAGAGAUUACUCAAGAAUAUUGCUUAGAUAUUCAUGCCAAGUCUGUGGAAUAUACUAUGGGUGCUGUCACUCUCUUUGUCUAUCUAUCCCCAUUGGCUCAAGGUUGGCAGGUGUGAGUAUUUAAUAAUCAAGCUAACUGCUUUUAUAAAUAUGAUGCUACUUGAAAAAGUUGUGUUUAUGGGUUGCAUGUCUGAUAUGCUUCAUUAAAUCCUAGAUAAAUUGGUUCACUGUACAACCAUAAAAAAUCUUGUUGAAGAAUGGAAGAGAAAUUGAUUUGAUGGUUAAGGAGAAUUCACCCACACUCAUUGAGUGUCAUAGUAAUAGCCCAUCAAAACAGUGUUUUGAAUAUAUAGGUAUACUUCUCUUCCUUCAAAUAUUUAACCUUAGCACUAGUUGCAUGCUUUGGUGGAGCACUUAAUUGGUUUAUAUGGGUACUGGUGAAGGAACAGACUAUUUAGUGAAAGAACAACUCUUCGCUUCUUGAUGCUGUGGCAUGUGAUUUAUGCUUUCAAGAUCCUUGUUUUGCCUCAAAUCUAGGAAUUUGGGUUUUCUCAUUUUUUCUUUGAGCGAUUAUGUUUUCUCCUCUUAAAUGAAGUUCUGUAGAAAAGUUAUCUUAAUUGAAGUUUUCAG